rnacentral:rRNA from 1 species
UACGUAGGGGUGCGAGCGUUGUCCGGAAUUAUUGGGCGUAAAGGGCUCGUAGGCGGUUUGUCGCGUCGGGAGUGAAAUCCACUGGACUUAACUGGGUGGCUUGCCUUUCGAUACGGGCAGACUGGAGGUAUGCAGGGGAGAACGGAAUUCCUGGUGUAGCGGUGAAAUGCGCAGAUAAUCAGGAGGAACACCGGUGGCGAAGGCG